UGCCUACGGGACGCAGCAGUCGGGAAUAUUGCGCAAUGGAGGAAACUCUGACGCAGUGACGCCGCGUAUGGGAAGAAGUAUUUCGGUAUGUAAAGCUCUAUCAGCAGGGAAGAAAAAAGACGGUACCUGACUAAGAAGCCCCGGCUAACUACGUGCCAGCAGCCGCGGUAAUACGUAGGGGGCAAGCGUUAUCCGGAUUUACUGGGUGUAAAGGGAGCGUAGACGGCGCGGCAAGUCUGAAGUGAAAGGCAGGGGCUUAACCCCUGCACUGCUUUGGAAACUGCCAUGCUAGAGUGCUGGAGAGG
rnacentral:rRNA from 1 species